UGGCCCAAUACAACAAGCGGGUUAAAUAGUUAGUCCAAUUCUUCAUUUGCACAGUAAAGACUCCAUGGCUGGACAAUCGGCAUGUUGUUUUCGGACACAUUAUUGAUGGAAUGGAUGUUGUGCGCAAAC